rnacentral:rRNA from 1 species
UACAGAGGUCCCAAGCGUUGUUCGGAUUCACUGGGCGUAAAGGGUGCGUAGGUGGCCAGGUAAGUUUGGUGUGAAGGCUCGGAGCUUAACUCCGAAAAGUCAUUGAAUACUAUCUGGCUGGAGGGUCGGAGGGGAGACUGGAAUUCUCGGUGUAGCAGUGAAAUGCGUAGAUAUCGAGAGGAACACCAGUGGCGAAGGCGAGUCUCUGGACGACUCCUGACACUGAGGCACGAAAGCUAGGGGAGCAAACAGG